rnacentral:rRNA from 1 species
CGCUAGUAAUCGCGGAUCAGAAUGCCGCGGUGAAUACAUUCCCGGGCCUUGUACACACCGCCCGUCAAGCCAUGGAAGCCGGGAGUGCCUGAAGUGCGUGACCGCAAGGAGCGCCUAGGGUAAAACCGGUGACUGGGGCUAAGUCGUAACAAGGUAUC